rnacentral:rRNA from 1 species
UACGAAGGGUGCUAGCGUUGUUCGGAAUUACUGGGCGUAAAGCGCGCGUAGGCGGCUUCUCAAGUCAGGGGUGAAAUCCCACGGCUCAACCGUGGAAUUGCCUUUGAAACUGUGAAGCUGGAGUGUCGGAGGGGAUGGCGGAAUUCCUAAUGUAGAGGUGAAAUUCGUAGAUAUUAGGAGGAACACCGGUGGCGAAGGCGGCCAUCUGGACGACAACUGACGCUGAGGCGCGAAAGCGUGGGGAUCAAACAAG